AACACUGAAAGGCUUGUGGGGCCAGGCAAUGCCACCUUGAGGAAAGGGGAAACAUCUAAAAACUCCAGCCAGUCAAAAACAAAUGAGAUGUGUUUUAAGCAGGUACUUUCCUGACUGUUUACUCUAAAUGAAACAAAUAAGUUUGGCCCAUUCUUUGAGAUCUCCACGGGCUUGAAAUUUGGACGUGGCUGAUGUAUAGCAGGAAAUGGUUCAUCCGAGAGCAGCACCUCCAGGGAGGCGAUGUUGCAGGGAUGACAGCCAGGCUUCUCCUGCCAGAGGUGGUGGUUCAGCCUACCACCUUGGCUCCCCCUCCAGCAAGUCUGCACCCUCCACAGCAGUGCACAGUUUUGUUUACAGCAGAGGCUCAUGUGUUGCAGUAAAGCACAACUGGUGUCCCAUAUGUCCUGAUGAUCUCUCAAAUGAUAAAACGACCGGUGCCGGAGGAGCAGCCCGAGUUUUUGCAUCAUGCUCACCUCUGCCUCGACUGAUUUUCCUAAGGAAAAGGAUUCUGCCUGGGGUAGACGCACGGUGCUGCAUGUCACCAAAGCUUCCUGUUGCCUCUGGGAUCUCGACAUUUCUGCUCCUACCUUUAAUAUUACGCAGAGGUUACCUCGGAGCUGCUGCGGCAGAAAAUUGCUGCAGGUUGCAGCACCAGCCCAGGCCUGUGAUAUCCAGGAGCUCAUUCAUCCGCCGCCUUCAAAGGGCUCUCACCAUCAGGCAAGCUUUUGCCAUCGUAAUGAUGCAGCAGUCUUAGGGCCAGAAGACGAUUUUGUCUGUGCAGGCUUGCCUUUAUAGAGAGUAAAAUGCUCUUGGGCCCUAUUACAAUCCCUGGCUAUUAGAGAGCAGCAUCUCCAAAAUGCUGUUGCCCAUGCCAAUUCAUUAAUCCUAUCCCCCUAUGAGAAGUGUUGUUCCUUGUGUUUUGAGGGCAAUGGCUAGCAAAUGGCCAAGGUGACCCAGGUGGCACUCAUCGGCUGGUGCUGCGUUAGGCAGCCCGGGCUGUGGCUGUGGAUUCAGCCAGCUCCUGACUGCAAGCAAUAGGCCACAAUAUCUCCUUCCAUAUUGUAACUGUUAGUGCUUUUAAUAAAUUCCCUUAGGGAAAUGUGCCA
rnacentral:lncRNA from 1 species